rnacentral:rRNA from 1 species
GAUGAACGCUGGCGGCGUGCCUAAUACAUGCAAGUCGAGCGAACAGAUGAGGAGCUUGCUCCUCUGACGUUAGCGGCGGACGGGUGAGUAACACGUGGAUAACCUACCUAUAAGACUGGGAUAACUUCGGGAAACCGGAGCUAAUACCGGAUAAUAUAUUGAACCGCAUGGUUCAAUAGUGAAAGACGGUUUUGCUGUCACUUAUAGAUGGAUCCGCGCCGCAUUAGCUAGUUGGUAAGGUAACGGCUUACCAAGGCAACGAUGCGUAGCCGACCUGGGAGGGUGAGCCGCCACGGGGGAGCUGAGACACGCUCCAGACCCCGACGGGGGGCAGCAGUAGGGAAUCUGCCGCAAGGGGCGAAAGCUUGACGGAGCAACGCCGCGUGAGGGAGGAAGGUCGUCGGAUCGAAAAACGCUGUUAGUAGGGAAAAACAAAUGUGUAAGUAACUAGGCAAGUCUAGAGGAAACCGAAACAGAAAGCCACGUCUAACUACG